rnacentral:rRNA from 1 species
CUGCUGCCUCCCGUAGGAGUUUGGGCCGUGUCUCAGUCCCAAUGUGGCCGAUCACCCUCUCAGGUCGGCUAUGUAUCAUCGCCUUGGUGAGCCUUUACCUCACCAACUAGCUAAUACAACGCGGGAUCAUCUUUGAGUGAUGCAAUUGCAUCUUUCAAACUUAAAACUUGUGUUUAAAGUUUUUAUGCGGUAUUAGCAUUCGUUUCCAAAUGUUGUCCCCCGCUCAAAGGCAGAUUCCCCACGCGUUACUCACCCG